UACGAAGGGGGCUAGCGUUGUCCGGAUUUAUUGGGCGUAAAGAGCUCGUAGGCGGUCUGUCACGUCGGCUGUGAAAUCCCGAGGCUCAACCUCGGGUCUGCAGUCGAUACGGGCAAACUAGAGUAUUGCAGGGGAGACUGGAAUUCCUGGUGUAGCGGUGAAAUGCGCAGAUAUCAGGAGGAACACCGGUGGCGAAGGCGGGUCUCUGGGCAAUAACUGACGCUGAGGAGCGAAAGCGUGGGGAGCAAACAGG
rnacentral:rRNA from 1 species